rnacentral:rRNA from 1 species
UUGAACGCUGGCGGCAGGCCUCACACCUGCAAGUCGCGCGGAUGAAGGGAGCUUGCUCCUGGAUUCAGCGGCGGACGGGUGAGUAAUGCCUAGGAAUCUGCCUGGUAGUGGGGGAUAACGUCCGGAAACGGGCGCUAAUACCGCAUACGUCCUGAGGGAGAAAGUGGGGGAUCUUCGGACCUCACGCUAUCAGAUGAGCCUAGGUCGGAUUAGCUAGUUGGUGGGGUAAAGGCCUACCAAGGCGACGAUCCGUAACUGGUCUGAGAGGAUGAUCAGUCACACUGGAACUGAGACACGGUCCAGACUCCUACGGGAGGCAGCAGUGGGGAAUAUUGGACAAUGGGCGAAAGCCUGAUCCAGCCAUGCCGCGUGUGUGAAGAAGGUCUUCGGAUUGUAAAGCACUUUAAGUUGGGAGGAAGGGCAGUAAGUUAAUACCUUGCUGUUUUGGCGUUACCAACAGAAUAAGCACCGGCUAACUUCGUG